rnacentral:rRNA from 1 species
CGGUGUUCAACUGGCGUGUCCGCGGGACGUCCUGCCGGUGGGCUUAGCCCGCAAGGGCGGCCCAACUUCAAAUCCCAUCGCGGUGCUCUUCACUGAGUGUCGAGGUGGGCCGGCACGUUUACUUUGAACAAAUUAGAGUGCUUAAAGCAGGCUAAAACUUCGCCUGAAUACUGUGUGCAUGGAAUAAUGGAAUAGGACCUCGGUUCUAUUUUGUUGGUUUUCGGAACCCCGAGGUAAUGAUUAAUAGGAACGGAUGGGGGCAUUCGUAUUGCGACGUUAGAGGUGAAAUUCUUGGAUCGUCGCAAGACGGACAGAAGCGAAAGCAUUUGCCAAAAACGCUUUCAUUGAUCAAGAACGAAAGUUAGAGGUUCGAAGGCGAUCAGAUACCGCCCUAGUUCUAACCAUAAACGAUGCCAGCUAGCGAUCCGCCGACGUUCCUCCGAUGACUCGACGGGCAGCUUCCGGGAAACCAAAGCUUUUGGGUUCCGGGGGAAGUAUGGUUGCAAAGCUGAAACUUAAAGGAAUUGACGGAAGGGCACCACCAGGAGUGGAGCCUGCGGCUUAAUUUGACUCAACACGGGAAACCUCACCAGGCCCGGACACCGGGAAGGAUUGACAGAUUGAGAGCUCUUUCUUGAUUCGGUGGGUGGUGGUGCAUGGCCGUUCUUAGUUGGUGGAGCGAUUUGUCUGGUUAAUUCCGAUAACGAACGAGACUCUAGCCUGCUAACUAGGCGUAUUUUCGACAUCUCAAAGGUCCGUCGUCCCGGCCCUCGGGUCGUGGGCGUGCGCGAUUUUUACUGUCGGCGUACUAUCAAUUCUUCUUAGAGGGACAGGUGG